GGCUUCGGCUACCACUUACAGAUGGACCCGCGGCGCAUUAGCUAGUUGGUGAGGUAACGGCUCACCAAGGCGACGAUGCGUAGCCGACCUGAGAGGGUGAUCGACCACACUGGGACUGAGACACGGCCCAGACUCCUACGGGAGGCAGCAGUAGGGAAUCUUCCGCAAUGGACGAAAGUCUGACGGAGCAACGCCGCGUGAGUGAUGAAGGUUUUCGGAUCGUAAAGCUCUGUUGUUAGGGAAGAACAAGUGCCGUUCAAAUAGGGCGGCACCUUGACGGUACCUAACCAGAAAGCCACGGCUAACUACGUGCCAGCAGCCGCGGUAAUACGUAGGUGGCAAGCGUUGUCCGGAAUUAUUGGGCGUAAAGGGCUCGCAGGCGGUUUCUUAAGUCUGAUGUGAAAGCCCCCGGCUCAACCGGGGAGGGUCAUUGGAAACUGGGGAACUUGAGUGCAGAAGAGGAGAGUGGAAUUCCACGUGUAGCGGGUGAAAUGCGUAGAGAUGUGGAGGAACACCAGUGGCGAAGGCGACUCUCUGGUCUGUAACUGACGCUGAGGAGCGAAAGCGUGGGGAGCGAACAGGAUUAGAUACCCUGGUAGUCCACGCCGUAAAGUAUGGCAGAGGGUGGUGGAAUUUCCUGUGUAGCGGUGAAAUGCGUAGAUAUAGGAAGGAACACC
rnacentral:rRNA from 1 species